rnacentral:rRNA from 1 species
AGCGAACGCUGGCGGCGUGCUUAACACAUGCAAGUCGGGCGCGAAAGGGGGCUUUCGGGUUCCGAGUAGCGCGGCGCACGGGUGCGUAAGACGCGGGUGACCUAUCCUGGAGGCGGGGAUACCCCUUCGAAGAGGGAUUAAUACCGGAUGCGCCCACAGGCAGAGAUGCUUGGGGGCGAAAGGAUGCUACUUGAUAGUGGCAUGUCUUCUAGGCGGGGCCCACGCCUAUCAGCUAGUUGGUGCGGUAAUGGCGCACCAAGGCGAAGACGGGUAGCUGGUCUGAGAGGAUGGCCAGCCACACGGGGACUGAGACACGGCCCAGACUCCUACGGGAGGCAGCAGUGGGGAAUAUUGGACAAUGGGCGCAAGCCUGAUCCAGCCAUGCCGCGUGAGUGAUGAAGGCCUUCGGUUG